rnacentral:rRNA from 1 species
AGUCUCAGCCAUACCACCAUAAAUAUACUCAAUCUCAUCUGGUCUCAGAAGCUAAGUAGGGUCAGGCCUGAUUAGUACUUGGAUGGAAGACAAACCUUCAAAAGAGACCGUUCAGAGAGAGACAGUUUGGAGACAA